CGUUCAAAUACCGGUUCCCUUACGAUCAUCGGCGUUAAGCAACCUCGAGUCUGGUCAGUACCCAGAUGAGUGAGCGUUUGGGAAUAUCAGGUACUGCAAG